AACAUUGGUUAUGCAGGGGUAGUCAUAGGAGUAUAACAAUUAAUUUAUUACAAAUUAAUUUACACAGUUUCUCACAUUUUGGCCACACCAUGCUUCCUUAAAAAGUCUAGUGCACAAGAGAGUUCCUGGCAAAACUGCUUUGUUGCCAAGAUAUUGGUGAGGACACACCCACUGUAAAUGGUAUCCAUAGCAGAACUAAAUCUUAAAUUUUUUUCUCAAACGAUUUUCCCUUAGAAUUAAGUUUAAUUGGCUACUUUUUCUUUCUUCAAACUCGAUUGGUCCACGAGUCACGCCUUCAAAGGUGAUAGGCGCAUGACGCCACACACCCAUCCCACUCUGCAGAGCUCUACAUGGCACCAGAAACAUCAACAUUCGGCUUAGAAAAAAACAGCAGAAUUACAAAUUCAUUUACAAGAUUAUCUCCAUUAUUAUUAGUUUUUGGAGAUAUCACAUAGAGAAGAAAUGUUUUAGAUUGAUGUGUUUUAUUGACAUCCAGUGUCAAAAAUGAGGUUGGUGGUUCCACACGUGUUCAGCCACCAAGGCGUCAAUUAGCAGGCCCUUAUGUCGCUGUCUUUCCACUGAGACCCGCAACACUUCCCAAGGCGCCUCCGCACGAGCUGCAAGCAACCGCUGACCAUCAAGUUACGGCGAUCUGCAACUUGAGACAUACACACAGGCUGAAAGAGCGUACCUGAACUAAUA